GAUGAACGCUGGCGGCGUGCCUAAUACAUGCAAGUCGAGCGAACAGACGAGGAGCUUGCUCCUCUGACGUUAGCGGCGGACGGGUGAGUAACACGUGGAUAACCUACCUAUAAGACUGGGAUAACUUCGGGAAACCGGAGCUAAUACCGGAUAAUAUAUUGAACCGCAUGGUUCAAUAGUGAAAGACGGUUUUGCUGUCACUUAUAGAUGGAUCCGCGCCGCAUUAGCUAGUUGGUAAGGUAACGGCUUACCAAGGCAACGAUGCGUAGCCGACCUGAGAGGGUGAUCGGCCACCCUGGAAGUGAGCCACGGUCCAGACUACUACGGGAGGCAGCAGUAGGGAAUCUGCCGCAAUGGGCGAAAGCCUGACGGAGCAACGCCGCGUGAGUGAUGAAGGUCUUCGGAUCGUAAAACUCUGUUAUUAGGGAAGAACAAAUGUGUAAGUAACUAUGCACGUCUUGACGGUACCUAAUCAGAAAGCCACGGCUAACUACGUG
rnacentral:rRNA from 1 species